rnacentral:rRNA from 1 species
UACGGAGGGUGCGAGCGUUAAUCGGAAUUACUGGGCGUAAAGCGCGCGUAGGUGGCGUGAUAAGCCGGUUGUGAAAGCCCCGGGCUCAACCUGGGAACGGCAUCCGGAACUGUCAGGCUAGAGUGCAGGAGAGGAAGGUAGAAUUCCCGGUGUAGCGGUGAAAUGCGUAGAGAUCGGGAGGAAUACCAGUGGCGAAGGCGGCCUUCUGGACUGACACUGACACUGAGGUGCGAAAGCGUGGGUAGCAAAC